AGGGACCCAUUGGGCCAAACAGCUCUGAGGGGGUGUGGGGGGUGAUAGGAGGAGGUGCUGGGCCCAGGACAGGAAAUGGGGAGCCAGGGAGGGGGUGGGGAGGGCUGACCUGCUUGCCAGGAAGCCCCUGGGCGCCUUAGGGCCCUUGGGAAUGGGGAGGGGAAGCAGCUGUCCCAAGACCCUCCCCAGGGGGGAGGGCUUUCCAACCCCAGAGGGGCCACUUCUCAGCUUUUUGACCUUGGACCUGGGACAUUCCUCCUCUGAGCCUCGGUUUCCCCACCCGUAACACGAGGAUGACAGAUGGGCAGUGGGUCAGAACGCUGGGGGCCUGGCCCUCUUGCCCAGGGACCUAGGCCUGGUGCCUCCUGCACGGCUGACCCCUGCUCCAGCCAGCGCGGGGCUCCUGGGCAGCUGGGAGGCCGGAUGGCUCGACCCCUGUUCGUGAGGCUGGGUGGAGAGGUGGCCGAGGACAGGGGACCUGCAUGAGCAGUCUUACUCUGCCUCUCCAUCAGGCUCGGAGGAUGUGCUGUCUACCCAUCCGAGCUCAGGCCCCCUUUCCCGGCCCGGGGCUCAGCCUGGGGCCCCCUGCAAAUGGAGUCAGUCCCAGAGGGCUCUAGCCGCCCCUUCCCCGUGGACCCUGGAGCCUUGGGCUGGCCUCCCUGAGUGGCUCUUUCCUGGGAAGAUCCCGGAGACAUAAUGGGUGAGCCAUUAACUGGGAGGAAGUCAUCCAUGGCAGUCCUGCUCGCGUCCCAAGGACAACCCAGAGAGGGAGGGAGGUGCUGACCAUCGCCGUGCUCCGGGGGGCUCACGCACCCACUCUGACACCGACACGCGAGGGCAGGUCCUCAAGGGGGACCUCGAGGAGUGGCAGCGUGGGCACCCAGGUGCCAGGGUGCCCACGGGCCUCCUGAGAGCAGCGAGUGGCGUGGCCACAGUGGCCCCAGGAGGCCCCCGCCCAGAAGCUUCUGGACAGAGUCCGUGCUGGCAGGAGGCUCCAUGGCAGGAGUGUGGGGGCGCAGCCGACAGCUGCUUCCUGCUCCCACUGUUGGGGUGUCGCUGCCCCUGUGAGAAGAACAGAUAUAGACGAGCCCCCAGCCUGGCCCUGCCCGCUGGGACCCCUCACCCCCAGCCCCGCGCUGUGUGAUCUCGGGCCGGUUCCCUUCUCUCUGUGGGCCUCGGGGUUUUACUCGAGGCUGCUUCGGGGAUGUAGCUGGUGCCCGCCCUCCCCCACUGCUCCCACCCCAUCCCACGAACCCUGGGCUGGCGAGGGGCUGGUACUUGCAGGUGUAAAGUGGCAGUGCCUGCCGGCCGCCUGCCUCCUCGACCUGAACCCUGGGGCCUGGCAUGGUCAGGGCAGCCCAGCUGACUUGGCCUGGGUGGCUGAACAAGACCCCGAGAAGAAUGGAUGGACGGAUGGACACAUGUGGACACAGGGACGUCCAGAGGAAGGAGAGCCUGCCUUCCUCCCCAGCGCCCACCCCCACUCAGGGGGACGUGGCUCUCAGGGAGACUCCCCAGCCGCUGCUGUCCCCGGGCUGGCCCCAGGGGCAGGGCGAGUCGAGCAGGAGCAUCCCGCCUCUGUCCGUGGGCCCGAGUGCAGCACCUCAGGGCCAGCUGGUGGUGCCAGGCCCUCUCGACGUCCACGAGCACCUCCUGGCUGAACCGCUGCCUGGGGACCCCAGCAGACAUGCUCCCCGAGUUCUCAGUGCCCUAAGAAGUGGCUGGAGACCCCGAGGCGGGCAGGACUUGCUUAGCGACCCACAGCCAGCUCUGGAAGGACGCAGCUGGGCUCUCCCAGCUCAGGACUGGGAGAUGACUGUGGCAUCGACGGCUGACCCCAGGUCAUCCAACAGUGGACCCGGACCAACAGCCGAAAACCCCCGCCAGGGAGCAGGGGCCAGUGAGCAGCCCCUCAUGUCCAGGGAAGGUGCAGGGUGGGGGCUUGCCCAAGCAAUCCUCCAGGCCCUUGGCCCCCGCCCCCUGGCCUCCUCGCUCCUGGGACAUAAGCC
ensembl:lncRNA